UGGCUCAGUGUUAGAGCACUUGCCUAGAAAGCACAAGGCCCUGGGUUCGGUUCCCAG
rnacentral:tRNA from 1 species